rnacentral:rRNA from 1 species
ACCAGCCAUCCCGCGUGAAGGAUGAAGGUCCUAUGGAUUGUAAACUUCUUUUAUACACCAAGAAAAACUCCCACGUGUGGGAGCCCGACGGUAGUGUAUGAAAAGCAUCGGCUAACUCCGUGCCAGCAGCCGCGGUAAUACGGAGGAUGCAAGCGUUAUCCGGAUUCAUUGGGUUUAAAGGGUGCGUAGGCGGCUCUUUAAGUCAGUGGUGAAAUCCUGCCGCUUAACGGUAGAAUUGCCAUUGAUACUGAAGAGCUUGAGUACAGUUGAGGUAGGCGAAUGUGUAGUGUAGCGGUGAAAUGCUUAGAUAUUACACAGAACACCGAUUGCGAAGGCAGCUUACUAAACUGUUACUGACGCUGAUGCACGAAAGCGUGAGGAGCGAACAGGAUUAGAUACCCUGGUAGUCCACGCCGUAAACGAUGCUCACUCGCUGUAUGCGAUACACAGUAUGCGGCCAAGCGAAAGCAUUAAGUGAGCCACCUGGGGAGUACGAUCGCAAGGUUGAAACUCAAAGGAAUUGACGGGGGCCCGCACAAGCGGAGGAACAUGUGGUUUAAUUCGAUGAUACGCGAGGAACCUUACCUGGCUUAAAUGUAGAGCGACAGCUUUGAAAGCAGGCUUUCUUCGGACGAUCUACAAGGUGCUGCAUGGUUGUCGUCAGCUCGUGCCGUGAGGUGUCGGGUUAAGUCCCAUAACGAGCGCAACCCUUAUCGUUAGUUGCCAGCGGGUCAAGCCGGGGACUCUAGCGAGACUGCCACCGUAAGGUGUGAGGAAGGUGGGGAUGACGUCAAAUCAGCACGGCCCUUAUGUCCAGGGCUACACACGUGUUACAAUGGCCGAUACAAAGGGCAGCUACCAGGUGACUGGAUGUUAAUCUCUAAAGUCGGUCUCAGUUCGGAUCGAAGUCUGCAACCCGACUUCGUGAAGCUGGAUUCGCUAGUAAUCGCAUAUCAGCCAUGAUGCGGUGAAAUA